rnacentral:sRNA from 1 species
CUGUCAUGAGCCCGGCCAAGCCCUUGUGGGAAGCUGAGGACGAUGAAACGAAACCAGUCUACAAAGAUUUCACUUAUGCA